GGUUCGUAGUGACUGCGGAAGGAUCAUU
rnacentral:rRNA from 1 species